rnacentral:lncRNA from 8 species
AUGUUGACCAGAGACCUAUGGUGCCCUAUAUAUAGAAGAGGGAGCCAUUUGGGACUCAACCGGUCAGUCAGAUGUAGAACUAUACAUUACGUUGGUCUUGGAUUGCCAUUUUCCAGGCACAGUCAGACAAUAUUUUAUGGGAAGUUAGUCAAGGUUCCUCUGAAUGAUAUUAAUUCAGGAUCUCUGAGAGUGAAAGGGGGAGAGAGCUUUUCAAGAAAACAGAACAGCUUGAUGACUCUCCCCCCUCCGUGUCUCUCUCUCUCGCCCCUCCGUGUCUCUCUCCCCCCUCCGUAUCUCUCUCCCCCCUCCGUGUCUCUCUCUCUCGCCCCUCCGUGUCUCUCUCCCCCCUCCGUAUCUCUCUCCCCCUCCGUGUCUCUCUCCCCCUCCGUGUCUCUCUCGCCCCUCCGUGUCUCUCUCCCCCCUCCGUAUCUCUCUCCCCCUCCGUGUCUCUCUCCCCCCUCCGUAUCUCUCUCCCCCUCCGUGUCUCUCUCCCCCUCCGUGUCUCUCUCGCCCCCUCCGUAUCUCUCUCGCCCCCUCCGUAUCUCUCUCUCUCUCUCCAUCUCUCUCUUGCUUGAUGACUCUCCCCCCUCCGUGUCUCUCUCCCCCCUCCGUAUCUCUCUCCCCCUCCGUGUCUCUCUCCCCCUCCGUGUCUCUCUCGCCCCCUCCGUGUCUCUCUCGCCCCCUCCGUAUCUCUCUCGCCCCCUCCGUAUCUCUCUCUCUCUCUCCAUCUCUCUCUUGCUUGAUGACUCUCCCCCCUCCGUGUCUCUCUCUCUCGCCCCUCCGUGUCUCUCUCCCCCCUCCGUAUCUCUCUCGCCCCCUCUGUGUCUCUCUCGCCCCCUCUGUGUCUCUCUCGCCCCCUCUGUAUCUCUCUCGCCCCCUCCGUAUCUCUCUCGCCCCCUCCGUAUCUCUCUAUCUCUCUCUCCAUCUCUCUCUCCCCCCUCCGUGUCUCUCUCCCCCCUCCGUAUCUCUCUCGCCCCCUCCGUAUCUCUCGCCCCCCUCCGUAUCUCUCUCGCCCCCUCCGUAUCUCUCUCGCCCCCCUCCGUAUCUCUCUCGCCCCCUCCGUAUCUCUCUCGCCCCCUCCGUAUCUCUCUCGCCCCCUCCGUAUCUCUCUAUCUCUCUCUCCAUCUCUCUCUCCCCCCUCCGUGUCUCUCUCCCCCCUCCGUGUCUCUCUCGCCCCCUCCGUAUCUCUCGCCCCCUCCGUAUCUCUCGCCCCCCUCCGUAUCUCUCUCGCCCCCUCCGUAUCUCUCUCGCCCCCCUCCGUAUCUCUCUCGGCCCCUCCGUAUCUCUCUCGCCCCCUCCGUAUCUCUCUCUCCCCCUCCGUAUCUCUCUCGCCCCCUCCGUCUCUCUCUCGCCCCCUCCGUGUCUCUCUCGCCCCUCUCUCUCUCUCUCUCUCUCUCACCCCCUCCGUAUCUCUCUCGCCCCCUCCGUAUCUCUCUCGCCCCUCCGUCUCUCUCUCGCCCCCUCCGUCUCUCUCUCUCCCCCCUCCGUAUCUCUCUCGCCCCCUCCGUGUCUCUCUCCCCCCUCCGUGUCUCUCUCCCCCCUCCGUGUCUCUCUCCCCCCUCCGUGUCUCUCUCGCCCCUCCGUAUCUCUCUCCCCCCUCCGUAUCUCUCUCGCCCCCUCCGUAUCUCUCUCUCUCUCUCUCCAUCUCUCUCUCCCCCCUCCGUGUCUCUCUCGCCCCCUCCGUAUCUCUCUCGCCCCCUCCGUAUCUCUCUCGCCCCCUCCGUAUCUCUCUCGCCCCCUCCGUAUCUCUCUCGCCCCCUCCGUAUCUCUCUCACCCCCUCCGUAUCUCUCGCCCCCCUCCGUAUCUCUCUC